rnacentral:rRNA from 1 species
CACAGCGGUGGAGCACGUGGUUAAUUCGAAGCAACGCGAAGAACCUUACCAGGUCUUGACAUCCCGAUGCUAUUUCUAGAGAUAGAAAGUUACUUCGGUACAUCGGUGACAGGUGGUGCAUGGUUGUCGUCAGCUCGUGUCGUGAGAUGUUGGGUUAAGUCCCGCGACGAGCGCAACCCCUAUCUUUAGUUGCCAUCAUUGAGUUGGGCACUCUAAAGAGACUGCCGGUGUCAAACCGGAGGAAGGUGGGGAUGACGUCAAGUCCUCAUGGCCUUUAUGACCAGGGCUACACACGUACUACAAUGGCCGGUACAAAGGGCAGCGACACAGCGAUGUGAAGCGAAUCCCGAAAAGCCGGUCUCAGUCCGGAUUGGAGUCUGCAACUCGACUCCAUGAAGUUGGAAUCGCUAGUAAUCGCGGAUCAGCACGCCGCGGUGAAUACGUUCCCGGGCCUU